UACGGAGGGUGCAAGCGUUAAUCGGAAUCACUGGGCGUAAAGCGCUCGUAGGCGGUUUGGUCAGUCAGACGUGAAAUCCCGCAGCUUAACUGCGGAACUGCGUUUGAUACUGCCAGACUUGAGUGUCGGAGAGGGUGGCGGAAUUCCGGGUGUAGGAGUGAAAUCCGUAGAUAUCCGGAGGAACACCAGUGGCGAAGGCGGCCACCUGGACGACAACUGACGCUGAGGAGCGAAAGCGUGGGUAGCAAACAGG
rnacentral:rRNA from 1 species